AGAAUCAACGCUGGCGGCGUGCCUAACACAUGCAAGUCGAACGGGAAAGUGGAGCAAUCCAUGAGUAUAGUGGCGACCGGGUGAGUAACACGUGACUACCUACCCUUGAGUGGGGGAUAACCUCGGGAAACCGAGGCUAAUACCGCAUAAUAUCGAAAGAUCAAAGGAGUAAUCCGCUUUUGGAGGGGUCGCGGCUGAUUAGCUAGUUGGUAAGGUAAUGGCUUACCAAGGCGAAGAUCGGUA
rnacentral:rRNA from 1 species